UACCAGCACCCCGAGUGGUCGGGACGAUUAUUGGGCCUAAAGCAUCCGUAGCCGGUCCUACAAGUCUUCCGUUAAAUCCACCUGCUUAACAGAUGGGCUGCGGAAGAUACUAUAGGGCUAGGAGGCGGGAGAGGCAAGCGGUACUCAGCGGGUAGGGGUAAAAUCCUCUGAUCCAUUGAAGACCACCAGUGGCGAAGGCGGCUUGCCAGAACGCGCUCGACGGUGAGGGAUGAAAGCUGGGGGAGCAAACCGG
rnacentral:rRNA from 1 species